GGUGCUAUCUAGAACCUAAAGGGUUGUACCCCAUAAGAGAACCUAUUUCAUGUAGAACCCUUUUUCUACCUGAAACCAAAAAGGUUUCUACCUGGAACAGAUAUGCGUUCUCCAUUGAGGACAGAACCCUUUCAGAACCCUUUCAGAACCCUUUUAGAACCCUUUCAGAACCCUUUUAGAACCCUUUCAGACCCCUUUCAGAACCCUUUCAGAACCCUUUUAGAACCCUUUCAGAACCCUUUCAGAACCCUUUUUUCUAACAGUGCGUUCAAAAUAGAACCCUAUUCUCUACAUAGUGCACUACUUUUGACCAGGCCCUAUGGUAGUACGUAGGGAAUAGUGUGCCACUACAGAGAAUAGGGUGUCCCUGUAUAGUGAAUAGGGGAAUAGGGUGUCACCAUAUAAUAAUAUAAUAAUAAUAAUAUAUGCCAUUUAGCAGACGCUUUUAUCCAAAGCGACUUACAGUCAUGUGUGCAUACAUUCUACGUAUGGGUGGUCCCGGGGAUCGAACCCACUACCCUGGCGUUACAAGCGCCAUGCUCUACCAACUGAGCUACAGAAGGACCACAGGGUGUUACUAUGUAGGGAAUAGGGUGUUACUAUGUAGGGAAUAGUGUGCCACUACAGAGAAUAGGGUGUCCCUGUAUAGGGAAUAAGGUGUCACUAUGUAGGGAAUAAGGUGUCACUAUGUAAGGUGUCACUAUGUAGGGUGUCACUAUAAAGGGAAUAGAGUGUCACUAUGUAGGGAAUAAGGUGUCACUAUGUAGGGAAUAAGGUGUCACUAUGUAGGGAAUAGAGUGUUACUAUAUAGGGAAUAGAGUGUCACUAUGUAGGGAAUAGAGUGUCACUAUAUAGGGAAUAGAGUGUCACUAUGUAGGGAAUAGAGUGUCACUAUAUAGGGAAUAGAGUGUCACUAUAUAGGGAAUAGAGUGUCACUAUGUAGGGAAUAAGGUGUCACUAUGUAGGGUGUCACUAUAUAUAGGGAAUAGGGUGUUACUAUGUAGGGAAUAGGGUGUCACUAUGUAGGGAAUAAGGUGUCACUAUGUAGGGUGUCACUAUAUAUAGGGAAUAGGGUGUUACUAUGUAGGGAAUAGGGUGUCACUAUGUAGGGAAUAAGGUGUCACUAUGUAGGGUGUCACUAUGUAGGGAAUAGAGUGUCACUAUGUAGGGAAUAAGGUGUCACUAUGUAGGGUGUCACUAUAUAGGGAAUAGAGUGUCACUAUGUAGGGAAUAAGGUGUCACUAUGUAGGGUGUCACUAUGUAGGGAAUAGAGUGUCACUAUGUAGGGAAUAGAGUGUCACUAUAUAGGGAAUAGAGUGUCACUAUAUAGGGAAUAGAGUGUCACUAUGUAGGGAAUAAGGUGUCACUAUGUAGGGUGUCACUAUGUAGGGAAUAGGGUGUCACUAUGUAGGGAAUAGGGUGUCACUAUGUAGGGAAUAGGGUGUCACUAUGUAGGGAAUAGAGUGUCACUAUAUAGGGAAUAGAGUGUCACUAUGUAGGGAAUAAGGUGUCACUAUGUAGGGUGUCACUAUGUAGGGAAUAGGGUGUCACUAUGUAGGGAAUAGGGUGUCACUAUGUAGGGAAUAGAGUGUCACUAUAUAGGGAAUAGAGUGUCACUAUGUUGGGUGUCACUAUGUAGGGUGUCACUAUGUAGGGUGUCACUAUGUAAGGAAUAGCAUGGCAUUUUGGACCAAACCAUGUUUUCUGUCAGCUUUUGUUUUUGCCCCCAUUUUACUGGAUAUUGAACCGUUACCUGAAUUAUUAGAGAACACUGUUGUACAUUUAUAU